GAUGAAGAACGUAGCGAAAUGCGAUAAGUAGUGUGAAUUGCAGAAUUCAGUGAAUCAUCGAAUCUUUGAACGCACAUUGCGCCCCUUGGUAUUCCUUGGGGCAUGCCUGUUCGAGCGUCAUUUCACCACUCAAGCCUCGCUUGGUAUUGGGCAACGCGGUCCGCCGCGUGCCUCAAAUCGUCCGGCUGGGUCUUCUGUCCCCUAAGCGUUGUGGAAACUAUUCGCUAAAGGGUGUUCGGGAGGCUACGCCGUAAAACAACCCCAUUUCUAAGGUUGACCUCGGAUCAGGUAGGGAUACCCGCUGAACUUAAGCAUAUCAAUAAGCGGAGGA
rnacentral:misc_RNA from 1 species